CUCCCACCACUGCGAUCUGUUUCGCCGGACCACCCCGUCCCGUUCCCCCACCGCGAUCUGCCCCCUCCCAUCUCCACACCGGUUCUUUCUCCCCCAAAAUUCCCAAAUCUUAAUUUCACAGACUCUCCCUCCCCCGUGUCGAUUCGCCGUCCUAAGUCAGCGCCGCCGCUCCUUCUCCUUUCCCCGUUUCAACACCAGAGUCUCCCUCCCUCGCUUCAAUUCGCCGCAGUUCGGCCCCAAGUCAGUGUCGCCGCCCCUUCCUCCCGUUUCAACACCAGACUCUCUCUUCCCGCAACAGCCCUACCCCCAAGUCGGCGCUACCGCCAAUGGCUGCCUUGCGUCUGGCACCACCGCCGUCAAUCCGCCGGACAUUACUUGGCUCCGAAACAGUUCUUGAUUAGCCAUGACUCUGAGCGACGUAAUAUGAUAUUUUGGAAAUAGUUGUUGCUCGCUGCCUAUGGCUCAUGACCAGCUAUUGUUGAGGGGCGCUGGUGCUGUACCGAGUCAGGAGAAGGGGGGAUUCCUUGGUGUGGUGUGUGUGUUGUUGGCUAAGUAGUCGAAUCAGGGGCAGAGGGCGGAGAUGGUGGCAGCGUAUGGCUGCUGCUAUCGGCCAGAGUGAGCAGAGGAUAGAGGGAGAAGAAGGUAAGAGGAAGAAAGAGAUGUGUGGUUCCAGCAUUUUAGGUUUAAGGAUUUCAAAGGAUUUUGUAUAUUUUACUUUAGAAUAAUACUGGAAUAAUAUGGCCUUAUAUAUGGUGCAUAUUGUUCCAUAUUUCAUAUGAGGAUUUGAUUCCUCCUUAUUUCACUUUUUAUUUUCUCCAAGUAGGCGCGUCCUGUUGUGCUAAUGAAUGAGAUUAAGAGCCCCUGUAACUCAAUUUUGUAAUAUUGUUUGUGAGAGGAGAGAGAUGCAAUAUGAAUCUCCAACUGGAUGUCUAACACUUUGAUCAGUUAGUUAUAUGUGUUGUGCAUAUUUUAA